rnacentral:rRNA from 1 species
UACGUAGGUGGCAAGCGUUGUCCGGAAUUAUUGGGCGUAAAGGGCACGCAGGCGGUUCUUUAAGUCUGAUGUGAAAGGCUGUGGCUCAACCACAGAAUUGCAUUGGAAACUGGAGAACUUGAGUGCAGAAGAGGAGAGUGGAAUUCCACGUGUAGCGGUGAAAUGCGUAGAUAUGUGGAGGAACACCAGUGGCGAAGGCGACUCUCUGGUCUGUAACUGACGCUGAGGUGCGAAAGCGUGGGGAGCAAACAGG